rnacentral:lncRNA from 1 species
GACUACGGGCGCUCCUCCCCGUGACACCGUCACAAUACCGCACACCGGCCACCCGGGCGCCGGCACACGCCGCCGGCUCCCCCUUGCGCGCCUGUGCUAUUAUGUUGGCAUAGGUUACAUCGUGUGUCUACCCCUGCUAUAUAAGAGAGGCCUAGGAUACAAGUGUCCUACUAGGACACGACUCCACAUCCUAUGUAAACACGAUACAACUACAAGUCCAACUAUAACCUGCCUUGUACACUAUAUUCGACACAACUCUAACAAACUCCACCUUGGCGAAUAUUCUCCACCACCUUGAAUUCGUCAAUGCAUCAAACUUCCAUGUACAUUGGACUUGAGCUUAUCCCAUGAGCACCACCGCUGCUACUCCAAAGACUCUAUGUGACUCCACCUGCAACUUGUAGUCCCUUCUUUUCUUGACCACAGUCAAUACUCGAGCAAAAUUAAGUUCCUUGUUACUCUAGUUUGUGCUCCCAACUUCCAGAGUAUCCGUCCAACGCCAUCACACACUGAUCACUGACCUGUGUGAAAGUGAACAACUCACAUAUUGGGUGUCACACACAAGAAUUACCUGACUCAACAUCACUGCUCCUUUCUUGACCGUCUGUCUGAAACUUGAAGGAAUUUCACCAUUACUUGUAGUCAUCCCGAGUCAAAUUCGCAGUUGUCUCACCACAUGUAUGACCACCAGAGCCCUGGCCCGUCUCCAUGUCCCGUGCAUACCACACGCCUCGUCGCUAUUACCGCGUCGAGCCUCCGCUGUCCCGGUCGACUAUCAAGGGUCGCGAAACCACACCACUCAACCCCCACUGCAGAGUACCACCGGUCAUCACCGACCGAUGACGAGUUUCAUGCUUCCAUCAGACCACUGGGCUCCAGUCCGAACUACGUGUCACUCGCUUUUUUCCACUUGCUGAAUAGGCUUCGAUUCCCUGGAUCCUUCUAUAUCGUAGCCCCUCAAUCCAGCUCCACCUUCAACAUGACUCCAUGGUAGAUGAUCAGUCCACCCUCGCGCCCCGUCGACUUCAAGCUCCGUGUGCACCAUCUUGAAUCAACCCCGCGCCAUAGUCUUGUCGAAGCCACACUAGCCCUCGGGGCCUGCGCCACGUGUUUCCACGCCCCAGAAGUCGGUCACCAUCAGCAUCACGCUCCUAUGUCACCACCACUGAUCCCGCACCGUCUUCUGUACCAACCGACAUCCAAGUCGAUCCGUCAGACUGCCUAGUCCGACCAAGCCGAACUCGUUCAACUAUAAUAAUGCUCCACCCUGCACCACGACCGCUUGCACAACCGUGCAUGUCUUGGAAGCCAUGUGUAUGCAUGAUCUGGUACGGCACAAUAUCCUUCACUUCACAUAAUCUCCGAGCCAUCCAAGCAAUCUUGACAGAAAAAACUUCCAUGCAAACCUGACCCAAAGAAUUCUUUGCACAAUUAUCUUUCCUUGUCGCUAUUUGCUGGUGCAUGUCCGUGUACCCUUAGCAGCAAAGAUACCUACCUGCCCAUGACACACACGCACACUCGUAUCAUGUGAAACCUGGACAUGGUGCCUCUUCUUUUUGGUCCAAACAAAUCUCACGCUGCGCUCCUGGACUUCAGCCCACAAUUGUGUCAACCCUGCUCGUGUAGCACAACAGCCCAACGUGUGCCUGGAACUGCUGCUGUAUGGGCCACCUCCUGCCUAAGGGUCCCCUGGGCCGCUGCAUGUAACCUGCUGCUGCACCGGCCACACCUGGCUGUACACGCCCCACGCUCGGGACUCCUAUUGCCGCACGCUACACCUGGACAUGAUCCAAUCUCGCCGAGUCCUCCGGAACACACGCCGCCGCCAGCUUCGAUUGCUUUUUGUUCGAUCCGAUACGCUUUCUGAGUUCCAGUAGAUUUACAUGCCUCCCGUCGACUUUGACCUCUUCCGAGCUUCGUUGCUCGCGAUCCUUCGACUGUAGCUUAAAUCCAACUGAUCUCUUUUACGUCUUCGGCCUUUUCUGAUUUCGCUCUGAUACCACUUGUUAGAAUAAAUCCGAGGACACCAUCGAUCAUCCAGGACCAAGCAAUCACAGACAAUGACGACACCGAGAUUUGUUAAUGAGGUUCACCGAUAUGGCUACAUCCCCGGGGCAUGACUACGGGCGCUCCUCCCUGUGACACCGUCACAAUACCGCACACCGGCCACCCGGGCGCCGGCACACGCCACCGGCUCCCCCUUGCGCGCCUGUGCUAUUAUGUUGGCAUAGGUUACAUCGUGUGUCUACCCCUGCUAUAUAAGAGAGGCCUAGGAUACAAGUGUCCUACUAGGACACGACUCCACAUCCUAUGUAAACACGAUAAUCCUACAAGUCCAAC